GACGAACGCUGGCGGCGUGCUUAACACAUGCAAGUCGAACGGAAAGGCCCUGCUUUUUUGGGGUGCUCGAGUGGAGAACGGGUGAGUUACACGUGAGUUACCUGCCCUUGCCCUUGGGAUAACUUCAUGACACUGAGGCUAAUACCGGAUAGGAUCUCCUGCUGCUUGGUGGGGGUUGGUAGGGUUCGGCGGUUGGUUAGGGACUCGCGGCUUAUGAGCUUGUUGGUGGGGUGGUGGGUUACCAAGGCUUUGACGGGUGGCCGGCCUGAGAGGGUGAGCGGCCCCACCGGGACUGAGAUACGGCACAGACUCCUCCGCUAGGCAGCAGUGGGGUAUAGUGCACUGUAGGCGGAACGCGGGUGCAGUCACGCCGCGUGGGGUGUGACGGCCUUCCGUUUGUAAAGCAAUGUCGCCUGUGCCGAAGCGUGAGUGACGGUAACGGGUAAAGAAGCACCGGCUAACUCCGUG
rnacentral:rRNA from 1 species